rnacentral:rRNA from 1 species
AGUCGAGCGAACGGAUUAAGAGCUUGCUCUUAUGAAGUUAGCGGCGGACGGGUGAGUAACACGUGGGUAACCUGCCCAUAAGACUGGGAUAACUCCGGGAAACCGGGGCUAAUACCGGAUAACAUUUUGCGCUGCAUGGCGUGAAAUUGAAAGGCGGCUUCGGCUGUCACUUAUGGAUGGACCCGCGUCGCAUUAGCUAGUUGGUGAGGUAACGGCUCACCAAGGCAACGAUGCGUAGCCGACCUGAGAGGGUGAUCGGCCACACUGGGACUGAGACACGGCCCAGACUCCUACGGGAGGCAGCAGUAGGGAAUCUUCCGCAAUGGACGAAAGUCUGACGGAGCAACGCCGCGUGAGUGAUGAAGGCUUUCGGGUCGUAAAACUCUGUUGUUAGGGAAGAACAAGUGCUAGUUGAAUAAGCUGGCACCUUGACGGUACCUAACCAGAAAGCCACGGCUAACUACGUGCCAGCAGCCGCGGUAAUACGUAGGUGGCAAGCGUUAUCCGGAAUUAUUGGGCGUAAAGCGCGCGCAGGUGGUUUCUUAAGUCUGAUGUGAAAGCCCACGGCUCAACCGUGGAGGGUCAUUGGAAACUGGGAGACUUGAGUGCAGAAGAGGAAAGUGGAAUUCCAUGUGUAGCGGUGAAAUGCGUAGAGAUAUGGAGGAACACCAGUGGCGAAGGCGACUUUCUGGUCUGUAACUGACACUGAGGCGCGAAAGCGUGG